rnacentral:rRNA from 1 species
GGAUUAGAUACCCUGGUAGUCCACGCCCUAAACGAUGUGUGCUAGAUGUCGGGGGACUUGUCCUUCGGUGUCGGAGCUAACGUGUUAAGCACACCGCCUGGGGAGUACGGCCGCAAGGUUAAAACUCAAAGGAAUUGACGGGGGCCCGCACAAGCGGUGGAGCAUGUGGUUUAAUUCGACGCAACGCGCAGAACCUUACCAGCCCUUGACAUGAUGACUGCGCCAUCCGGAGACGGAUGGUUUCCUUCGGGAGGUCAUUACAGGUGCUGCAUGGCUGUCGUCAGCUCGUGCCG